UACGUAGGGUGCGAGCGUUGUCCGGAAUUAUUGGGCGUAAAGGGCUCGUAGGCGGUUUGUCGCGUCGGGAGUGAAAUCCACUGGCUUAACUGGUGGCUUGCUUUCGAUACGGGCAGACUGGAGGUAUGCAGGGGAGAACGGAAUUCCUGGUGUAGCGGUGAAAUGCGCAGAUAUCAGGAGGAGCACCGGUGGCGAAGGCGGUUCUCUGGGCAUGUCCUGACGCUGAGGAGCGAAAGUGUGGGGAGCGAACAGG
rnacentral:rRNA from 1 species